rnacentral:lncRNA from 1 species
AAUCCUCUAAAAUUUUAUAACUUACAAUAUAAUCCUAUCAAAUUUAUAUUUAGCAAACUAACCCUCGAAACGCGGUCCGCAUUCUGAAAGACGUUGAGGUUGUUAGGAUUGUAUAUCGAUUAUUAGAUUUUUUUUUUUAUUAUUAAGAUUGUAUGGAUAAUUAUUACGAUUUUUAAGUCGUUAAGGUUAUAUGUGAUGUUUGAUUAUUAGGAUUAUAUGGAUAGAUUAUUAUGAAUUUUUUAUAUUGUUAGUAUUAUAUGAAUAGAUUAUUAGAAUUUUCAUGUUGUUAAUAUUAUAUGUAAUUUAUUAAAAUAUUUAUAUGGUUGUUAGGAUUACAUAUGAAAUAUAAAAAGAAACAGUAUAUAAUUUAAAAAUGGUGAAUAAUUCAUCGCUUUGUGAGAAAUUAGGAAGGCGAUGAAUAAUUCACCAUUCACCAUUCACCGUCUUUAAGAGAAAAUUCCAACCUGUCUACUACAUAGCAAAAGGAGAGUUAGUUUUCUAAAUAUAAUUUUGACAUAAUUAUUUUGAAAAUAUCAAAAUUUUAGAGAGUUAUUUUGUAAAAAGUUCCAUCUUUAGAGGUUUUUUUUUAUAUUUAGCCCUUCAAAAAAAAUUUCUCAUAUAACCCUAUAAAAUUUAUACCUAUAAAAUUGGUCCUAUUCUCGCUACGCAAAUGCCGUGGAAAGCUCCACGUCGGUAUGACCAGCAUAGAUUAAGUUCACCAUAUCCUUUUAUAUAUAUUACUUAAAAGAACACGAUGAACCAACUUUUUUAGAUUUUAAAUAAUAUAUCAAAAAGAUAUGGUGAAUUAUUUAUCGUACUCAAAUACAGUAAAUAAUUUAUUGUAUUUAAUUUAACUCUUAGCCACACUCACGUAGCGCUCGUGUGGCGGGAAUAGGAACCAAUCUUACAAAUAUAAAUUUUAUAAAAUUACUUUUGAAAAAUAUUUAGGGACAAAAUGCCAAAAAAAAAAAAAAGCCCUGUGUGUGGUUUAUGGAUAGAUGCUAAUGGGUACAGACACCUAAAAAAAAAUUAUUUGCACCCGAAUCCAUAUCGGAUUACCAACCCCAACGGGGUGGGCUAAUUUGAUGCUAAAAGGAUAUCACUUCGGAUACGGGUAUAAAAAAAUUAAAAUCACAUGAAUUUAAAUUCGAGUAUGAAUUUUAUCUGUAUCCAAUUCAAAUCCAAACCCGAAUUGAUUUAUAGAUCUUAAAACUGUAUGCAUUGAAAUAUAAUAAAAAUAAAUAUUUAUUUCGGGUUCGGAAUUUUCUGGUCGGAUUUCGAAUUUUUGGUCGAAUUCGAUUUUGGAUAUGAAUCGUCAAAAUUCUUCUGCGUAGGGUUUGGCUUUCGGAUUUCGGAUUUGGGUUCUUGAAAACCCGCUCCGAAACCGGUCCGGUGACAUCCAUAAUUUGGUUACGUAUAAUUACUUCUGUAUAGCAGUUUUAACUAUAUGCACGACCAAUUUUACAUUCUAUUCUACAUUUUCUAAGUAGGAAUUUAAUUUCUUCUUGUUGGAUUGGAUGACCUUUUUUAUAACACAAACAACCCUGGUCGGAAUUUAAUAAUUUUAAAUUAAAUUUGAUGAGAAUUUUAGUUUCUACUAGUUGUACCGACUUAAAUUAAUUAUAACAUCGGUGUGCCCUACGUAAUUGAGAAUUAAAAGGAAAAAAUAAUCAAUAUUGAAAUAAUUUUUAAUUUUUUUUCCGAACAACAAAAUAGAAUAGAAUCUAAUUAGUCUCCAAUUUAAUCUAAACUAAAAUAUUUAUUUUCAAAAUAAAUUUUCAUAUCUUUUUUUUUUUUUUUUUUCUGAACGCAAUGCAUCGUAUUCGAACCGGAGUUUAUCUAACCACUUUCACGUGGCCCUAAUAAUAGGAAGGAUCCCUCAAAAUGUGCUCUAACUUUAAUUAGAGAGGCCCGUGAACUUCAUUUAUGGACACGUCUCUAUUGUGAUUUAGUUUCAUUUAAUUACUUUAAUUAAAUUCAAAGUUUUAUGAAAUUAAUUAAUAAUUCUGUUCAAUUUUACAAUUUUCAUUCCGAUUAAGUAGAAUGAGUGUCAAUUUCAUUUAAACUACUGAUACAUAAAUGAUAAAAUUAUUAGUUUUAAUAAAACUUUAACUUAAAUCAAAAUAAUAAAAAAUUUAAGGGGUUAUCUAAAAUGCAGAUAUCCAUUUCCAAGAAAAAAUUUAAAGGUGCUGUUUGAUUCUUCGAAGGAGUGCGGAUAAAUAUUUUUCAAAAAAAAUUAUAUAUAUUUUUUUUUCAGUUUUCAGACCGUUUGGUUUCAAAAAAAUAAAAACUAGCACUUCUUAAUAACAGCAUUUCAAAUUUAUGAAAAAAUUGGUAGUUCUGUUUUUUUGAAUUUUUUACUCAAAAAACAAAAGUACUAGUUUUGUAAAAAUUUGAACUUUCAAAAAAAGCUAGAAACAAAACAGAUGAAAAACU